rnacentral:rRNA from 1 species
AUGGUUUUGGGAGAUUUUAAUGAAAUUCUUUACCCUUCGGAGAAGGAGGGUGGCAUGGCAAGACAUAUUGGUAUGAUGAGAGAGUUUCGUGAAUGCCUAACGGAUUGCGGGCUCGGCGACAUGGGCUAUACCGGUCACAUCUUCACUUGGAGGAGAGGAGAAAUACGUGAACGUCUUGAUCGGGCAGUCCGCAAUAUAGCGUGGGCAAAUAAAUUCCCUAGAACGGCGGUGAUCAACGAAGAACAUGUCCACUCUGACCAUCGCCCAAUCGUUCUGGACACGGAAUAUUUGGAUGGAAAAAUCUUUAAACGUCCGGAGGGGCGUGUUAAACAAUUUGAGGCGAGGUGGUUGAAGGAAGAGAUGGUGACUGAAAUUGUUAAGGCAUCGUGGGAGAAAGCAAAGUUCGCAGGUAUUGGACCUUCACUUGCGGACCGUGCGAGAGCAGUGCAUAUCGAUCUACAUACUUAG